rnacentral:lncRNA from 1 species
CCUCAGAUCUCUCUUUUGUGGUAUUUCUGGAUCCUUACCAAGGCAGUGAUGGUAUAUGCCUUCUCUCAAAAUAUAUAGUAUUUGUGGUAUAAGGCAUAGUGACAUUGCCUUCUCUCUCACCCUACUCUAAUAAGGCUUUUGAUAUCUGGAGCUCAUAGGUGGGAGAUAAAGUAUACAUACUUAUAAGACAUUUAUUGCAUAGUCAAACCAUGGAUCCAAAGAAACAAGUCAAUAAGUCAAAUCAAGAUGUGCAUGUGUGGCGAAUGAAUGGUGUAUGGUGAUGAUGGUGAUAACAAUGGUGAAAGUCUAAUUCUACUUUUGCUCUUUUGAGGGGAUAUAUACCUUCCUUGCUCUUUUGAAACUUUUUGAGGAGAAUGAGAUGCUCCAUAUUUUCUUUUUCUCUCAAGUGGGUAUUUUGUACACCUAAUUCUACUAACGGACACUUGUCCAUUUUUACCUCUCGUCUCACUUUUUCUUUCUUUCGAGGUUCCGGGCACUUGCCCCUUUUUAUUUCCUCGUAUUUCUUUUUUUUAGAGCACUCAUCUCAUGAGAUAAUAUAGCAAGUGGUAGUAACCAAGAUAACUUGAGCAUUUAUUUCACAGGGGAAAAACAGAAAUGUUUUUUGCUAUUCUCUCCCGGAUAAGGAGUAGAAUAUUUUUGGGUAGUUUUGGAGAUAGAAAUGGGUAGAUAUAUGUGGAUGCGUACUUCCGGAGUAGAAGCAACAUGCGUGAGUGAACGUGCAAGUGAAUCUUGAUUUAACCACAUGACAAGCUCCUAAGGGUCUACACAGCUUGACCACACUCAAUGCUCAUAAGCAGUAAAAAGUAAAUGUGUGGCUCAAAGUCUAGCAAGCAUGUAUAUAUGGCUGUGGUAGGAAUUUAAACUCUCAUCAUACAGGAACUCAUCAUGUGAUAUUUUAAAGAUUUUUUAAAGAUAAAAUUCUCCAGAAUUCUAGCAUCUCUAGGAACAGAUAAACAGCAGCUCAACCUUCCCAUAUCAUAUCUGUUAACAACUUAGACUUCAGAUCAAGUUUUCUUCCCACAAGUUUAGGUUUAGAGCAAGCUUUAAAUUAUAACAGUUAUGUC